rnacentral:tRNA from 1 species
CCUGGUGGCUCAAACAGUAAAGAAUCUGCCUGCAGUGCAGGAGACCUGGGUUUGAUCCCUGCAUCAGGA